CGAGGUAGUCAAGGCAAUCGCUUGUAGCUGUUACUUGUAACAGAUAAUGAGAGGAAAGUCCGGACUCCAAACGAAAAAAGUACCUUAGGAUAACUGGGGAAGCGUAAGCUUAUGGAAAGUGCCACAGAAAAUAACCGCCUUAUACUAUAAGUAUACGGUAAGGGUGAAAACGUGUGGUAAGAGCACACGAUAUGUCCUAGUAAUAGGCCAUAGGGGUAAACCCUACUUGGAGCAAGACAAAAUAAGCAUGUUCGGUGUUUCGUUUCGGUUUAAACAUGCGGGUAUGUCGCUUAGAUAGAUGGUUGCCAUUGUAGUUAGCUACAAACAGAAUCCGGCUUACUGAUUACCUCGUUUU
rnacentral:RNase_P_RNA from 1 species